rnacentral:rRNA from 1 species
AACGAACGCUGGCGGCAGGCUUAACACAUGCAAGUCGAACGCACCUUUCGGGGUGAGUGGCAGACGGGUGAGUAACGCGUGGGAAUCUACCCUUCUCUACGGGAUAGCUCCGGGAAACUGGAAUCAAUACCGUAUACGUCCUGAGGGAGAAAGAUUUAUCGGGGAAGGAUGAGCCCGCGUUGGAUUAGCUAGUUGGUGGGGUAAAGGCCUACCAAGGCGACGAUCCAUAGCUGGUCUAAGAGGAUGAUCAGCCACAUUGGGACUGAGACACGGCCCAAACUCCUACGGGAGGCAGCAGUGGGGAAUAUUGGACAAUGGGCGCAAGCCUGAUCCAGCCAUGCCGCGUGAGUGAUGAAGGCCCUAGGGUUGUAAAGCUCUUUCAGUGGGGACGAUAAUGACGGUACCCACAGAAGAAGCCCCGGCUAACUUCGUG